rnacentral:other from 1 species
GUUGCCCUGCGCUGCACGUGAUGCCGGGGGGAAGUUUCAACCUCAUUCAGAUCUCGGACGCCGCUCACGAGGGUGGUGCGCAUGCCCCUCCACAGAGGGGAAGCCUGAAGCCCUCGGCCUUGGCGCCCACCUGGUGACACCAGGUUCGAAACACCGUCGGCACACGGCAGAGGCGGGGCUUCC